GCGAGAAGUCGAAGGUAGGAGCAGAAAGCGGUGUUAGUGUUAGUUCUGGCCCGUUUGGACCCAAACUAAAGUGUAUCAGUAUGAAGCAGGCGGAGACGGCGCACUGAUUCACUCUCAGAGCUCGAUUCACUAAUGACCGAAUCACAGAGGAACCGACCAAAGAUAACUCACACCCGCACGGAGAAGAAGAACAAGAGGAGGAGAAGAUGAGCUGGAGUGGGGCAAAGAGAACUGCAUUCAGAUCAAACGGAUACAAGAGAGGUGGCCGAGUUGUUUGAGGAUCUAAAGAAUUGAGUGUCACAAUUCAACAUGCACAUCAGCGAAACUUUUCCCUCUGACUACACCAGCACGCACACACAGAAAUUCAUAGUGCAGAUCACUUCAAAGACGGCUGUUCCGUGCGCAUCUGGAGAAGGCAGACUGCGACCAAUCGGCUCCUGCUACACACUGACGUGAGACGGCUUAGUAGGGGUAAAUUCCUGCAGAGAUUUCGAGAGCUCUGUCCGGAGAUAAGCGAGUUUCUUUUUGCUGUUAAACAUGCAGAAUACACCCAAGUCAAUGAUGAUCAGUUGCUGCUGGACUUUUUUUAACCGAGCAUUUUUAACCGAUCUGACCAACUUAAUUUGGAGCUGCAAGGAAAAGACAAAAAUUAAAGGCAGUUAAUGCCUUUAAACGGAAAAUGCAACCUCUGUUCUCAAAGCUGCAGCGCCAUGUUUUUGGGAACUUCCAAAACCUCGCAUCAGAGCUGGAGACGCAGCGGAAGGCUUGUGCGCAGUUGAACUCAUGGACAGUUCUGGAACUUACUCACAGGGGAAAAGUACCCAAACAUGAGGAAAUGUGCCACCUCCUUGACUGCAUUAUUUGGCUCUACUUAUUUAUGUGAGUCAGCCUUUUCCCUCAUGAAGAUCAUUAAGUCCAAAUACCGUUCCCCAAUGACUGAUCAUCAUUUGGAGGCCUGCUUGAGGCUGGCUACCAGCAGCUACUGUCCGGACUAUGCAACCCUGGCUGAUUCUAUUCAGUGCACGUCGUCAGAGUAAGGUGGCGAUUGCAGGCGCAUUUUAUCCGAACUGCUUCCUCCAGGGAACUGUGGACGAGGAGCUCGCCUCCAAGGAACUCUAUGGAAACGACCCCAGGACCACCAUAGUGGUGUGUAAUCUCCCUCCAUUUGCAUUCCUCUACUAUAAACGGCUCCAGUCUCUCUUCAGACACUGUGGUUAAGUCAAAUCCAUCUCCUUUGACAGCUCCAGGGCCUAUGUAGAGUUCUACCGCUCGUCAAUGAGAGGUUCUGGCGUUCUCCCAGAGGUCUCUCUGUCUCUCCUCCUCACGCAGCAGAGACUUCCUCUCCAUCUCAACGUUUAACCCGCUGGAGAGGUGGAGACUUGGGCAGGGGGGUAGUGUAUCUCACACCUCAGAUAUACACGGGUGAAUGUGGAUAUUCAGAAUCGGUCAGUGAGCCCUGUCGGGGUUCUGAGCAGCUCCAUUGAGAAUCUUCCGUCUAACCCUGUCUUUAUCGUCAAUAUCACCGAGGUCAUCGAAGUGGGGCAUUUCUGGGGUUUCCAGGCUCACGAGGCAAGUCUGGAGAAACAGGGGUGGCUGACAGUGGCCGUUAAUACACGGGCGCUCUGCCCACUUCCUGUCUCACCUUAUCCAAAUCUUCUGUCUUGCCCCUUUCUCUGAAACUCACACCAAACCUGGGAACUACUACUGAGCCAAAAUACUGCAUGUCAUGGGGAGUAAUGUGGAGGUGUUCUUUGUGGACUUUGGAAACACUUCCAAAAUGCCAUGUAACUCUCUCUGGAACUUCCUGCUGACCGGCAAGCUCUGCCCUUUCAGGCUCAGGAGUUCAGCGUGGCGUGUUUGGCAUCAUCAGCACAGUCAGUCAAGAAGUCAGUGUUACAGACUGCAGUUCAUAGAAACCUCCUCACGGCUAAAGCUGCAGAGAUGGAGGUCGAGGGGACCAUGAAGAGGCGGCUCCAGCUGGCAUCAGAUCGAGAGUGUGGGCGCAAGAGCAGACUUUUGAUAAAGGAGGGUAUUUACAGUGUUUUAACUGGUUGUGUUUGAGUUGUGCAGGCUUGUGUCACCUGACUUAAAGAAGGCAUUGUUUGAAGGGCUUGAUCAGCACCUCCCACGGCUCCUGCAGUUGUACAACACCGAGAGGCAGUGAAAUACCCGAAAUCCAACAUGUGAUGACCCGCAUUGAUCAAGAGUUUAUUUUGGAUACAGGCAGAGGAAGCUCAGCGAAAGCUUAAGAGACAGAAUGGAGAGGACCCAGCCCUGCCUCCAUUCUGCCCACUGUUUGCCAGCUUGGGAAACAUUCUGCAGUGUGACGUGCUG